rnacentral:rRNA from 1 species
UUGACCUCAAAUCAGGUAGGACUACCCGCUGAAACUUAAGCAUAUC